rnacentral:rRNA from 1 species
AGCAGCCGCGGUAAUUCCAGCUCCAAUAGCGUAUAUUAAAGUUGUUGCAGUUAAAAAGCUCGUAGUUGAAUUUCGGGAUCAAUACGUCGGUCGUGCUUUCGGGUACGUACUGGCGUCAUUGGUUUCUCCUUUCUGACGAACCAUGAUGUCAUUAAUUUGGUGUUAUGGGGAGUUAGGACUGUUACUUUGAAAAAAUUAGAGUGUUUAAAGCAGGCUAACGCUUGAAUACAUUAGCAUGGAAUAAUGAAAUAGGACGUUAAUCCUAUUUUGUUGGUUUCUAGGAUCGACGUAAUGAUUAAUAGGGAUAGUUGGGGGCAUUAGUAUUCAAUUGUCAGAGGUGAAAUUCUUGGAUUUAUUGAAGACUAACUACUGCGAAAGCAUUUGCCAAGGAUGUUUUCAUUAAUCAAGAACGAAAGUUAGGGGAUCAAAGACGAUCAGAUACCGUCGUAG